rnacentral:lncRNA from 1 species
UGAAAAGACAGUUCAAUAUAAAUAUAAUAAUGCAACCUGAAUCCAUCUAAUACCCUAAAUCUAAUUCCCUAAACCCUAAAGUUCAAGCUUGAAUGAUAUUCUAAAUACUAUAUAACGUCUUUUUCUGAUUUUAAACCCAACAUUUAAACUUAAACUUUAAAUCUAAUUUUUAAAACUCCAUUCAAAUCUUAAAUGUAAACCUUAAAUUCGCCAUCAAAUUCUAUGCCCUAAAUCCUAACUUCAAACAUAAGCCAUUCAUCCACUAAAUAUAUACUUCCAAUCUAAAUUUUUAGAAUUUAACAAACUUGAAAUCUGAAUCUUAAUCACAAAUUCCUUUACAUACAACUCUAAACCUUAUACUUUCAUAACUCUAAACCUCUAAAUCAUAAUGAACUAUAUUUAGUAAAAACAACAGUGCUAUAUCAUAAACAU